rnacentral:rRNA from 1 species
UUAGAGUUUGAUCCUGGCUCAGAUUGAACGCUGGCGGCAGGCCUAACACAUGCAAGUCGAGCGGAUGACAGGAGCUUGCUCCUGAAUUCAGCGGCGGACGGGUGAGUAAUGCCUAGGAAUCUGCCUGGUAGUGGGGGACAACGUUUCGAAAGGAACGCUAAUACCGCAUACGUCCUACGGGAGAAAGCAGGGGACCUUCGGGCCUUGCGCUAUCAGAUGAGCCUAGGUCGGAUUAGCUAGUUGGUGGGGUAAUGGCUCACCAAGGCGACGAUCCGUAACUGGUCUGAGAGGAUGAUCAGUCACACUGGAACUGAGACACGGUCCAGACUCCUACGGGAGGCAGCAGUGGGGAAUAUUGGACAAUGGGCGAAAGCCUGAUCCAGCCAUGC